rnacentral:lncRNA from 1 species
AUGGUCCUUUAUGAGGUCUACAGUGAUCCUCUCUCUCUCUCUCCCUUCACGCCAUGGUCCUUUAUGAGGUCUACAGUGAUCCUCUCUCUCUCUCUCUCUCUCCCUUCACACCAUGGUCCUUUAUGAGGUCUACAGUGAUCCUCUCUCUCUCUCUCUCUCUCUCUCUCCCUUCACACCAUGGUCCUUUAUGAGGUCUACAGUGAUUCUCUCUCUCUCUCUCUCUCUCUCUCCCUUCACACCAUGGUCCUUUAUGAGGUCUACAGUGAUCCUCUCUCUCUCUCUCUCUCCCUUCACACCAUGGUCCUUUAUGAGGUCUACAGUGAUUCGCUCUGUCUGUCUGUCUGUCUGUCUGUCUGUCUGUCUGUCUGUCUGUCUGUCUGUCUGUCUGUCUGUCUGUCUGUCUGUCUGUCUGUCUGUCUGUCUGUCUGUCUGUCUCCCUCCACACACCAUGGUCUCCUUAUGAGGUCUACAGUGAUAAUGAGUCUCUCUCUCUCUCUCUGUCCUAUAGGAGCUCAGACUCUGACGGAGCGUUCGAGACCCCAGAGUCGACCACCCCUGUCAAGUCCCCCACGGAGACAGACCCUCAUACCCAGCCGCUGACCUCGGAAGACACCGGUCUGGGCUGUGACUCUGAGGUAGACGGUGAACCCGGGUCAGAGGCUAAAGGUCACCAUGGUAGCUCCCUGUCCAUAGUCUUUGACGAGGACAAGCCCAUCGCUGCUAGCGGAGCUUAUAACCUAGAGCAGCUCAUAGCUGCAGCUGCAGCUGCAGAGGCCCAGAGCCGAUCAACUCUAACCCGCUCUCUGAGCCUCCAGGCUGGGGAACUAGACGGCACCGGCCCCUUAGACGGCGGAGGAUUCUCCAUCUCAAUCGGAGACUCCUGUCCCUUAGCUGAGGCCUUUAGUGUCGACGGUGGUACUGAGAGUGCUCCAGGGACUCUCCGUAGACCCUCCAAGAAGGGGCCUCUCCGCCCCGGCGGCUCCCUGAAAAAGAAGCCUCUCCCCAGGCAGAGCUCUAACCUAGAGAGCCCCCAACCUCCGGCCUCCGGAACAACAGUGGAACAGCUGAAGAAGAAUGCCGAGCCCACCAGAGCAGCCGGCCCCCUAUUGGCCUCUGAGGAUCCGGAAGUAGGAGGAACCACGGUAGACUCUGCCCCUGGUCCUACCUCGGCCACGCCCAGUCCAGGAGGCACGUUCUGCAGAACCAGGAAGUCAUAUGUGGAAAGCUCCGCCUCGCUCACUGAAGAGACCAAUCACACUAGCCCAGAGACAGAUAACCAACUAAUCCUGGCCCCUACUUCUAUUCUGACCCCGACCCCAGCUAUCUCUAUACCCAACCGACAGGAGGACAGCCCCACUUCCGUGCCGGAGGCCCCCCCAGGCAGCGAAGGCUCUCCCCCCAGUGGGACCUACAAAUGGAACCCAGACAACUUUGAAGACAUCGACCCGUUUAACAACGGAGGGAGUAAAGUCGCUAACUCUCCGCCGUUGGGUAGGAAAGGAGGCGUGCUGUCCGUUGCCCCUGUCUCUAACCCCCCAGAGCGCCCCAACGCCGAUCCGGCUCUUCCCUCAACCAACCCCCCUAUUGGAACCUCAGGGGCAGUCAGACUGGAGUUUGACUAUUCUGAGGAGACCCUCGAGGAGCCUCCCAAGGCCUACUCUCCACCACCCAAGAAGCUGGGCAAAAAAACAGGCUCCAAGGUUAGUCUGUCAUAGCGUUGCAAAAUUCUGUUAACUUUCCCCAAAUUCCCUGAUCUUCCAGAAAUCCCAGUAGGAUUCCCGGAGUUUUACAACUCUAGUCUGUCGUCGUGUUUAGUGCUUUCCUUGGUUAGUCCGUCUUUAUGUUUUAUCUGUAUGUUUUAUGUUUGACUUUUAUUUUACUGAUUUAUAUUGUUGACUACGUCAAGUUACUUUGAAGUGUUUUGUAAAGCGUUUAAAAUGAAUAAACUUGUAUCAUUAUUAAUAUUAUGUAUUAUUAUGUAUUAUU